UCUCUCCUACAAAAGGGAGUUCAUAGGAUUAACAAUCUUUCUAAUGGCUGGGAGCAAUGACUCAUGCCUGUAAUCCCAGCACUUUGGGAGGCUGAGGCAGGAGAAUCGCUUGAACCCAGGGGGCAGAGGUUGCAGUGAGCCAAGUUUGCGCCAUUGCACUCCAGCCUGGGUAACAGCGAGACUCUGUCUCAAAAAAAAAA
rnacentral:lncRNA from 10 species